UGGGUGGUAUCGAGGAUGAACUACACCAGAGAAAUAAUUACUUCUGAAAUCUCUAGCUCAUAUCCUAAAGGAAUGGGACUACAUU
rfam:Clostridium cellulovorans 743B, complete genome.